rnacentral:lncRNA from 1 species
UUGAAUUCAUUAGUACAACAUAAAAUAUACUCAAAUGCUUUGAGCUCAUCAAAAUCAAAUAGGGGUAUAAUUAAUCACUCCACAAUCUCCCCCUUUUUGAUGAUGACAAAAUAUUGAGUAUUUAUAAAGUAAAUUGCUCAUCCAAGAAGUGAUUCAUAGCGAAGUUUUGAAAUGAAUUCAAAUGUCUAGUCAUUUAAUUUAUCCAAAAUUGAAAGGUAUGAGUCAGUAAACUCUGAAAUUAAA